CUCCUGUCUUGGUGUCCUUCUUUGUGUCUCUUGUCCCCCAUUCUCUUCCAGGUACCCCCAUCCCCGUCGUUGACAAAUGGCGCCCAGUGUGCAGCUGUUUGGAGGUCUUCUGGAGGAGAACAUCGUCCCCCGUGAAUAGACAGGCCUGUCUUCCUUGUUUGUCGGAGCCUUUGCUCCCUCGCUUUUGGCAACCAUGGACUGCCAACCUUGGUUCAGAGGCUUGGUGUGUGUUUCUCCCCUGACAACACAGAUCUCAGUGAAGGAGCCCAUGGAGGUGCUGAACACGGUGCAGGGCACACGAGACUUCAUCUAUAGCCUGCACUCCACCAAGAGGAGCUGCUUGCUCAAAGAACUGCACUGCUUCAAGACCACUGCUGUCCCACAAGAAGAACUGGAAGCUCUACCGCCCUCUCCAGGACAGCUGAGAUAUGUAUUCUUCCACAAUGCGAUACCUUUUGUAGGGUUUGGCUUUUUGGAUAAUGCUAUUAUGAUUGUUAAAGAACCCAAAUUGAAUUGUCUAUUGGAUUUAUUUUGAGAAUUUCAACAAUAUCAAUCAACAUGUUACUUUUCCUCCUAUGUAUCAACAUAUUAUUUAAUUUUCAGUUAUUGAUGCUGUACUGUACUGAGUUGGGGUUUGCUUAUUUCUGAUUUAACAUGCAUGGGAUACCUAUGUAUGUCUUUUUUUUCUGAUGGUUAUAAUUCAAUGCUGAGGUUUCUCCAAAUUAUUUAAGAUGUUUAAUAUCAGUUAAAAUUGUAAUUCUCUGCCUGGUGGCAUCCCUUCUGUGAUAUUUCAUGGUAAACAUCUAAAAUCAUAUAAAUUCAUUCAAUUUUUAAGCUUCCACAUCUAUCCAAAAUGGAAGAGUUUUAAGUAUAUCUGACUAUUUUAAUUUUGACCUGCACUGUCUUUAAGAGUCAGAGGUUAAUUAAAAAGGACAAUUGGCUGACCCCUAUUUUACAUAA
rnacentral:sRNA from 1 species